UCUGUUUGAUCCUAUCAGUAGUCAUAUGCUUGUCUCAAAGAUUAAGCCAUGCAUGUCUAAGUAUGAACUAAUUUAGACUGUGAAACUACGGAUGGCUCAUUAAAUCAGUUAUAGUUUUUUUUAUGGUAUCAUACUAUUCAGAUAAUCGUAGUAAUUCUAGAGAUAAUACAUGAACCAAGUCCCGACUCUUUGGAAGGGAUGCAUUUUUUAGAUAAAAGGUCGGCGCGGGCUUGCCCGCUUCUCUGGUGAAUCAUGAUAACUCGAUAGAUCGCACAACCCUUGUGCUGGCGAUGCUUCAUUCAAACUUCUUCCCUAUCAACUUUCGAUGGUAGGAUAGAGGCCUACCAUGGUGGUGAUAGGUGACGAGGAAUUAGGGUUUGAUUCCAGGGAGGGAGUCUGAGAAACGACUACCACAUCCAAGGAAGGAAGCAGGUGCGCAAAUUAACCAAUACUGAAAUGGGGAGGUAGUGACAAUAAAUAACAAUACUGGGCUCAUCGAGUCUGGUAAUUGGAAUGAGUACAAUCUAAACCCCUUAAUGAGGAUCCAUUGGAGGGCAAGUCUGGUGCCAGCAGCCGCGGUAAUUCCAGCUCCAAUAGCGUAUAUUUAAGUUGUUGUAGUUAAAAAUCUCGUAGUUGGAUCUUGGGUCGUAAAGGUCAGUCCACCUACUUGGUGUGCACCUACCCUUCCGUCCCUUUUGUCGGGGGCGUGCUCCUAGCCUUAAUUGGCUGGGUCACAGCUCCGACACUAUUACUUUGAAAAAAUUAGAGUGCGCAAAGCAAGAUUAUGCUUUGAAUACAUUAGCAUGGAAUAACAUGAUAGGAGUCUGGUCCUAUUGUGUUGGCCUUUGGGACUAGAGUAACGAUAAAUAGGGAUUGUUGGGGGCAUUUGUAUUUAAUUGUCAGAGGUGAAAUUCUUGGAUUUAUGAAAGGAAGACCACUAUGAAAGCAUUUUCCAAUGAUGUUUUCAUUAAUCAAGAACGAAAGUUGGGGGCUCGAAGACGAUCAUAACCAUCCUAGUCUCAACCAUAAAUGAUGUCGACUAGGGAUCGGUGGAUGUUGCUCUAAGGACUCCGCUAGCACCUUCUGAGAAAUCAAAGUGUUUGGGUUCUAGGGGGAGUAUGGUUGUAAGGCUGAAACUUAAAGGAAUUGACGGAAGGGCACCACCAGGAGUGGAGCCUGCGGCUUAAUUUGACUCAACACGGGGAAACUUACCAGGCCUAGGCAUAGUAAGGAUUGAUAUAUUGAGAGCUCUUUCUUCAUUCUAUGUGUGGUGGUGCAUGGCCGUUCUUAGUUGGUGGAGCGAUUUUUCUGGUUAAUUCCGAUAACGAACAAGAUCUCAGCCUGUUAACUACCUACGCAGAGGUUCCCCUUCGCAGCCAGCUUCUUAGAGGGACUAUGGCCAUUUAGGCCAUGGAAUUUUGAGGCAAUAACAAGUCUGUGAUGCCCUUAGAUGUUCUAGGCUACACGCGUCUUACACUGAUGCAGCCAACGAGUUUUUCUUCCUGAUUCGAGAGGAUCGGGAAAUCUUCUCAAAUGGCAUCGUGAUGGGGAUAGACCAUUGCAAUUAUUGGUCUUCAACAAGGAAUUCCUAGUAAGCAUGUGUCAUCAAGUCAUGUUGACUACAUCCCUACCCUUUGUACACACCACAUGUCUCUCCUACCGAUUGAAUGAUCUGGUGAAGUGUUCGGAUUGCGUCGACGAUGGUGGUUUGCUGUCGUCGACAUCAUGAGAAGUUCAUUGAACCUUAUCAUUUAGAGGAAGGAGAAGUCGUAACAAGGUUACCGUAGGUGAACCUGCGGUAG
rnacentral:rRNA from 1 species